GAUCUAGCUUGCUAGAUGCUGACGAGGGCGCACGGGUGCGUAACGGCGGUAUACAAUNUACCUUUAACUGAGGGAUAGCCCAGAGAAAUUUGGAUUAAUACCUCAUAGUAUUAUAUUAAGGCAUCUUUUUAUAAUUAAAACUCCGGUGGUUAAAGAUGAGUAUGCGUCCUAUUAGCUAGUUGGUAAGGUAAAAGCUUACCAAGGCUACGAUAGGUAGGGGGCCUGAAAGGGUGAUCCCCCACACUGGUACUGAGACACGGACCAGACUCCUACGGGAGGCAGCAGUGAGGAAUAUUGCACAAUGGAGGAAACUCUGAUGCUAGCCAUGCCGCGUGCAGGAUGAAUGCCCUAUGGGUUGUAAACUGCUUUUAUACAAGAAGAAACAUCGGUACGUGUACCGACUUGACGGUAUUGUAG
rnacentral:rRNA from 1 species